rnacentral:rRNA from 1 species
UCAGAUUGAGGGCUGCAACCCGCCCUCAUGAAGUCGGAGUUGCUAGUAAUCGCGGAUCAGCAUGUCGCGGUGAAUACGUUCCCGGGUCUUGUACACACCGCCCGUCACACCAUGGGAGUCGGAAAUGCCCGAAGUCUGUGACCUAACCGUAAGGAAGGAGCAGCCGAAGGCAGGUCGGAUGACUGGGGUGAAGUCGUAACAAGGUAGC